rnacentral:rRNA from 1 species
GGCGAGUGGCGAACGGGUGAGUAAUACAUCGGAACGUGCCCUGUAGUGGGGGAUAACUAGUCGAAAGAUUAGCUAAUACCGCAUACGACCUGAGGGUGAAAGUGGGGGACCGCAAGGCCUCAUGCUAUAGGAGCGGCCGAUGUCUGAUUAGCUAGUUGGUGAGGUAAAGGCUCACCAAGGCGACGAUCAGUAGCUGGUCUGAGAGGACGAUCAGCCACACUGGGACUGAGACACGGCCCAGACUCCUACGGGAGGCAGCAGUGGGGAAUUUUGGACAAUGGGCGAAAGCCUGAUCCAGCAAUGCCGUGUGUGUGAAGAAGGCCUUCGGGUUGUAAAGCACUUUUGUCCGGAAAGAAAUGGCUCUGGUUAAUACCUGGGGUCGAUGACGGUACCGGAAGAAUAAGGACCGGCUAACUACGUGCCAGCAGCCGCGGUAAUACGUAGGGUCCAAGCGUUAAUCGGAAUUACUGGGCGUAAAGCGUGCGCAGGCGGUUGUGCAAGACCGAUGUGAAAUCCCCGAGCUUAACUUGGGAAUUGCAUUGGUGACUGCACGGCUAGAGUGUGUCAGAGGGGGGUAGAAUUCCACGUGUAGCAGUGAAAUGCGUAGAGAUGUGGAGGAAUACCGAUGGCGA